CUGCUAUCGGAUUGAUACUAAGCCAUGCGAGUCUUUGUAGUAAUACAAGGCAGACGGCUCAGUAACACGUAGUCAACCUACCCUAUGGACAAGAAUAAUCUCGGGAAACUGGGCAUAAUUCUUGAUAGAUCAUAAUGCCUGGAAUGGUUUAUGGUUAAAAUGAUUCGUCGCCAUAGGAUGGGACUGCGGCCUAUCAGCUUGUUGGUGAGGUAAUGGCCCACCAAGGCGAUUACAGGUACGGGCUCUGAGAGGAGAAGCCCGGAGAUGGGUACUGAGACACGGACCCAGGCCCUAUGGGGCGCAGCAGGCGAGAAAACUUUGCAAUGUGCGAAAGCACGACAAGGUUAAUCCGAGUGAUUUCUGCUAAAGAAAUCUUUUGCCAGUCAUAAAACCACUGGUGAAUAAGGGGUGGGCAAGUUCUGGUGUCAGCCGCCGCGGUAAAACCAGCACCUCAAGUGGUCAGGAUGAUUAUUGGGCCUAAAGCAUCCGUAGCCGGCUUUGUAAGUUUUCGGUUAAAUCCAUGUGCUCAACACAUGGGCUGCCGAAAAUACUGCAUGGCUAGGGAGUGGGAGAGGUAGACGGUACUCAGUAGGAAGGGGUAAAAUCCUUUGAUCUAUUGAUGACCACCUGUGGCGAAGGCGGUCUACCAGAACACGUUCGACGGUGAGGGAUGAAAGCUGGGGGAGCAAACCGGAUUAGAUACCCGGGUAGUCCCAGCUGUAAACGAUGCAGACUCGAUGAUGCAUUGGCAUAAUAGCCAGUGCAGUGUCGCAGGGAAGCCGUUAAGUCUGCCGCCUGGGAAGUACGUACGCAAGUAUGAAACUUAAAGGAAUUGGCGGGGGAGCACCACAAGGGUGAAGCCUGCGGUUCAUUGGAUUCACCGCCGGA
rnacentral:rRNA from 1 species